AGCGAACGCUGGCGGCAGGCUUAACACAUGCAAGUCGAGCGGGCACUUCGGUGUCAGCGGCAGACGGGUGAGUAACACGUGGGAACGUACCCUUUGGUUCGGAAUAACGCUGGGAAACUAGCGCUAAUACCGGAUACGCCCUUUUGGGGAAAGGCUUGCUGCCGAAGGAUCGGCCCGCGUCUGAUUAGCUAGUUGGUGGGGUAAUGGCCUACCAAGGCGACGAUCAGUAGCUGGUCUGAGAGGAUGAUCAGCCACACUGGGACUGAGACACGGCCCAGACUCCUACGGGAGGCAGCAGUGGGGAAUAUUGGACAAUGGGCGCAAGCCUGAUCCAGCCGUGCCGCGUGAGUGAUGAAGGCCUUAGGGUUGUAAAGCUCUUUUGUCCGGGACGAUAAUGACGGUACCGGAAGAAUAAGCCCCGGCUAACUUCGUG
rnacentral:rRNA from 1 species